CUGGGCUGCCGUCUCCCCAGCCAAUGUCCUCUGUGUCCCUGGGCCUCAGUAUCCUGCCAGAGGGUGACACUCAGACAAUAGGAGGAAGCUGCCCAGCGAGGAUUCAGGAAACCAAAUCAGCUGACUAGAGAGGGAGAAGCAGAGGAGGAGACGCAGAAAUGUGGACCAGAGACAGCUGGAGACCGGGGGGCACUGAGGCAUCAGGUGCUGGGAGACGUCAGGGCCAGAGGUCGACUAGGCCGCGUGCCAGAGCACCUCCAGGAAGGGAGACGGAGGUGGAGGGGAGGCCGAGGGGCGCGCUCAGCCACCCCUUCCUCGGGGCCCUGGGCUUCCAGCACAGGUGGGAAGAGGUUGCAGCGGGUUGUGAGAGCAGCACUGGGCAUUUGGAUUUCGCCACUCCAGGGGCAGGGGACCAUCGGCAUUGGAGCCCGGGUUUGGGAAGCAGGGAGCCGGAGGUCGUUCAUCCCUCGCCUUUGCCUCUGCCAGCUGCACUGUAGCCAGGGAGAGGUUCUCUGGUCCACCUGCCUGGACCCAGCCCCUCUGGGACAGUUUUACCUGCUGCAAGCUUCUCUACUGACGAGAAGCAUGUUCAGGAGGCGGUCAUACCUCCUGAAGGGGAGCUGGACGGAUGGGGACAUUUUAUACCUUUGCAUUUUCUGCAUAUUGGGCUGCGUGAGGAAGUUAUUGAUGGACACAGGGCAGUGCGACUUUAGGGAGCAGUGCCGUGCUGCAGCUUGCUCGUCUGCCCCGGGCCCACACGGAGCUGCCCCUCUGUGCUGGUUGCACACAGACCCAGGAGAGAGCAGCUGGGUUCUUCAGCACCCCCCACCUCCGGGCUGACCCUGUCCCUGCCACAGCUCCUCUAGCACUUGGUCCCUGGUUGCCUUUCGUGGGCAACCUGCAGCCCGGGUUCCAGAACCACAGGUAACACGCCCGUCUCCCCGGGCUGGUGGGGGGCUGCAGCCCUUCUUGCUCCACGGGUCUUUUUCCAAGUCACACAGAGCAGCAAGUGCUCCAGUCAGAAGCCCCCCGUGAGGACCAAGGUGGCCUGCUUCAGCUGAUGCCCUCCAGGCUUCCUGCUUACUCGACCCUUACUUGUACCUUCUCCAUUAUGUGAUGAUCCACGGGGCUUUUUAAAAAUCAGUUUCUCUUAAAUUCUCGCCCACUGCUCAAUGUGUUAAGAUCAUUAAUUCCCAAGAGCAGAGGUGAUACCUAUUCCACCUUUGCAUUCCCAGGACAAUCCUUGUAAAUAUUGCAUGCCAGAUUACCACUCCUGGACGUGGAGUGGCUGUCACAGAUGUGGAAUGGUAUACGCACUGAGGCCACAGGACACCUUGGUGGAGCACUCCGCUGCCACCUGAAGACAGACCGCUGGUUCCUCCAGGGUAGCUGGGGGAAUAGCCUCUAUUGCCCCACCUGUGAGAUGAAGGGCAGUCUUGGUGGCCUGUGGGGGCCCCUCCACUGCUAAUUACCCAGUUACUGGCAUUCUGGGUCAGUAUUAUUUUUUUUCUCAUUUUUUAAUUUGUUAGGAAAAAAAAAAAUGAGUGACUGGGAAAGGUUGGCUUGCAGCCUGAUGCAGUAACUGGCUGAUCUUGCCCUCUCCAGGCCAAAGCCUGCAGCCCUGGAGAGAACCUGAGAAGACCCCGACUCAGACGGGGGACAGCGGAUAGCCCAGGACGUGGUCUGAGGAGAAGGAAGGAGGGCCAUGCUGGGGCUGUUCCUGCUCUGUGAGAAUUCAGCUCCCUCCCCGGGGGAGGCACCAGGCAGAAGAGGGGUCUUGCCAGGUUGAGAAGACAGAGGCGGACCCUGGCUGAGCUGGGUGCCUGGACUUUGCAGAGAAGAGAGUGGGGAGUCAUGUAGAAAGAACUCCAGGAAUCCACACAAGCACAGGACGGAAUCCCACCACUUAGGCGAAGCUGUAAACUGAAACUUUCCAGAACUUGCAAACACACUAGAUUCCUGUCAAGCCCAAGAAAAGAGACACAAGAAAAAAAUGGGAGGAUUAAGUAUGGAUCCUAAAAGGGGCAUCGCUUAGGAGAGGCGCUGCCUUAGCCUCGGAGUAGAUGCCACCCCAACCUGCCCUAGUGGCCCUAAAACCAGGUAUGGAAAGGGUGGAGUUACCCUGUUACUCAAAACAGUACAGCGUUCUCAAGAGGGGAAGAUGGUGCAGACAUUCAGCAGUCACCACCACGAUGUUCAGCAGCCCUCAAACCUCACCAGACACCGGAAGCCCAGGAGGUGACUCGAGGCCAGGAGCCAAGCUGGUCCACGUGUGCUCUCCGCAGAGAGAGGGUGGAGUCCGCCUUCGGAAUGUCCAAGCAGCAGUUUAGAUACAAUUAGGGAAGGAAGGAANUGGUGAAGACGGGGGGGGAAGACCCUGCGGGCUGCGCUGGGCGUGUGGGUAGCACAGCACCCUGCAGAGUGGGUGGGGGUCCUUGGAACCCAGGCGGGGGCCACCACCUGCCCAGCUGAGCCACUCCAGGCCCUGCUCACCACUGUGGAGGUGUGGAACCAGGCAGGAGUGGACACAACAGUGGCCUGUAUGCUGCCACACACACGCCACACCACGUGCAAGGCAGUGUCACCUAGACACACACCACACCCCACACACACACCAGGUACACACACCACACCACACAGUGUACACCAUGUCCCACACUCAGGUCACAUACACACACCACACCAGUCACAUCCUAGACACACACAACACACACACACCACACCAUGAACGAGGCAGUCUCAUCUAUGUAGACACCACACAUGCACCAGGUACACACACCACACACACAGUGUACACCGUGUCCCACACUCAGGUCACAUACACACACCACACCAGUCACGUCCUAGAUACACACACAUACCACACACACACCAUACCACGUGCGAGGCACUCUCACCUACAUACACACCACACACACCAGGUACACACACCACACCAUACACUAUAGACCAUGUCCCACACUCAGGUCACAUCCACACCCCACACCACGCAAACCACAUACAAAACCACACAACGUCCACCAUAUACCACACACCGUGUACCACGCAUGUGACUCACACACACACCACACGCCCAACACACAUACCUCACUCUACGCACACUUCACAUACAUACAGACACACCCCGCAGUAAUAAGGGACCCAGGAAUAAGCUCCGGGCAGCGGGGGUCAGGGCCGCAGAGACGCUGUCCAGGUGGCGUGUGGAGCCAGACAAGAACAAGCGUCGUCCUCCAAAACAGGGCUCUGGUUCCGGAAGAGCAAGGCCGCCCUGGCCCACGCAGUUCCGCGCCCUGUGCUCUAUAUUUCGGCACAGGAAAGCAUGUUGAUUUCCUUACCACCCUGGGGCUUGGAGCCCAGCCGUCUGCCCUUCUGGAUGUGGGGAAGGCUGCUGAACUCGGCUGGGCACUCUGGGGCUGACCAGCAGCUCGCCUCACUUGGUUUUGGUGCCGUGGACGGCCCCUGGGCCUCUGCUGUGCUUCCCCGUGGAGGACUGCAGCCCUCAGACCCUUCUCCAUGUGAGCCUGGGAGCAUUCGCCUCUCACAAGCUCCCCACUGUGAGGCUCAGCCAGACCCCACCUGGGGGCACAGGCCAUGAAUGACCUAGGUACACACCACACCAGUCAUGUCCUAGACACAGCCCUCCAGGACAUCCCCGGCAGACCCGGUCGUGGGACCCCAGGGAGCUUGCAGCACGCCCCGCACCUCCUCCCAGCUGGGCCACUACAGAUCACACCCAGAAGUUCAGAGGGUUGUGAAGGUUCACAGGAAUGGCCAGACCUGGGGAGAGAGGAGCAGGUGGGUGUGUUGGGAGCAACCCCAGGACCAGGCGGAAGCAGCCCCUGGCCCAGAGCGGACCCUCCUGGGGUCCAGGCAGAAGGGCUUCCCGGGAGCCAAUGCCGUGGCUCUGGCCCCCCACAGAGGUCCUGCUACAGAGGCUCUUCGCCCAGCAGCCCACCAUGCUGAAGAUUUCUUUCUGCCCCUAAGUUCUUUCUUUCCCUUUUUUUCCUUUGAGCUUAUAUUUAGGUGAUCAUUAUGUUUUCCUUUUAAAAUUUCUUAAUAUGAUAAAUUACAUAUAAACCAACCUUGAAACCAUUUUUUCAUUUUUUAAUUGAUUUUUUUUAAGAAUAAAUGACAGCAGAAUGCAUUAUAAUUCUUAUUACACAUAUUUAACAAAAAUUUUCAUAUCUCUGGUUGUAUAUAAAGUAUGUUCACACCAAUUCAUGUCUUCAUACAUGUACUUUGGUUAAUGAUGUACAUCACAUUCCACCAUCCUUGCUAACCCCCUGCCCCUUCCUUUCCCCUCCCACCUCUCUGCCCUAUCUAGAGUUCAUCUAUUCCUCCCAUGUUCCCCCCCUCUACCCCACUAUGAAUCAGCUUCCUUAUAUCAGAGAAAACAUUCGGCAUUUGGUUUUUUGGGAUUGGCUAAUUUUACCUAGCAUUAUCUUCUCUAACUCAUCCAUUUACCUGCAAAUGCCAUGAUUUUAUUCUCUUUGAUUGCUGAGUAAUAUUCCACUGUGUAUAUAUGCCACAUUUUUUUUUUUAUCCAUUCAUCUAUUAAAGGGCAUCUAGGUUGGUUCCAUAGUUUAGCUAUUGUGAAUUGUGGUGCUAUAAACAUCGAUGUUGCUGUGUCUCUGUAGUAUGCUGUUGUUAAUUCCUUUGAGUGUAGACCGAGAAGAGGGAUAGCUGGGUCAAAUGGUGGUUCCAUUCCCAAUUUUCCAAGGAAUCUCUAUACUGCUUUCCAUAUUGGCUGCACCAAUUUGCAGUCCCACCAGCAAUGUAUGAGUGUACCUUUUCCCCCACAUCCUUGCCAACACUUACUAUUGUUUGUCUUCAUAAUAGCUGCUGCUCUGACUGGAGUGAGAUGAUAGAGUAGUUUUGAUUUGCAUUUCUCUAAUUGCUAGAAAUGAUGAACAUUUUUUCAUAUAUUUGUUGAUUGAUUAUAUAUCACUUCUGAGAAGUGUCUGUUCAGGUCAUUGACCCAUUUAUUGGUUAUUUGUUUUUUUAGUGCUUAGUUUUCUGAGUUUUUUAUAUACCCUAGAGAUUAGUCCUGUAUAUGAUGUGUGAGGAGUAAAAAUUUGUUUCCAAGAUGUAGGCCCUCUAUUCACCUCACAGAU
rnacentral:lncRNA from 1 species